GCGCACCUGCGGCCUCGCGGGCCUGAACGUGUGCGCCGCUGCCGCCCGGCUGCCUGGCGCCGCGAGGACGCCGAUGUCCGGACCGUGAGGCCACGCCGCCAGGACCGCGGGGAGGGGGGCCCUGCCGCCAACGCCCGGUAGAGCUGUCGGUCUGAGUUUGUGCACGUGUGGGCGCCCCCCGCCCGUCCGCCUGGAGCUGCAUCUUUGGGCGCGGGGAGCAAGGUGUGCAGCGGAGGAGGGACCCUCUGCGACACGUCCUCUUGCCGGCCGGCCCAGUUCCGCGUCGGAUGCCACGGAGGGGUGCAACUUGGGCCCCAGGGGUUGCACUGACUCCUCCGUGGCGCUCCGUGGGUGGCGGGGCCAGAUCUGAAGCCCCGCUGUGUGUCCCAUACCGCAUCGCUUCCACAGUAGCGAAGCACCUGUGAGCUUGCGGGGAGUGGGCUGGGCCACCAACCCACUGGCGAGGGUGACAAUGAAGGGAAACAUCCCCAGGGGGAGUCGGGAGGCCAGAUGGGGAGCCCUGGGGCUCACUAUCAGUUACAGGCCCUGAUAGGUAAGGACGUGGGGGUUACUCUCGCAGCUCAGGCGUCACCCUGAAUUCUCCAGUGGACUUCGAUCCGUGAAAAGAUCCCUCCCAGCUUUCUUUCUCAAUGAAAUAAAGUUCCUUUGUUUUGUCUG